rnacentral:misc_RNA from 1 species
GUAUUCUGUUUUAGAGGCAACUAAAGGCCUUUAUCUCUUUCUAUUUCGUACAUCUGGAGUAUGAUAAAAACAUAGAGCUACUUGGGAAACACAAGAGCAGCCAUCUGCGGCAGCUCCCAAGUUCCGAGUGGUAUUCCCGGCAAAUGCCUCCAAGCCUCUACAAAAGGUGCACAGGGGUUUGAAAACUGGGUUGGCAGGCGUGCACAUGCCCUAGAAGAGGCCAGCAGCAACCUGACCGAGUUAUUCAUUAAUGAUCCUUCCGCAGGUUCACCUACGGAAA